AGUGUAAUUACAGAAAUAAGAUCUGUGCUUUGAACCAUAUACAUGAGGGAACCACCAGAUUACUUUGUAUGGGUGUGCCCCAGCUCUCCGAUUGACAACCUGCUGGUUUUCCUGGUCUUUGCUAAUCUGAAAGGAUGUAAUUAUUAACCAGCAAAAACUCCACUCCUGCACGUGCAUCCCAUGUGUAGUCCUCUGCAGAACUGCCACCAGUCACUGCUACUGUUGUUAGUACUAGACACAAAACAGCAUCUUUAGCAAGCUGAGGAUCCUUGAUACUGUGCUAGUGUGUGUAAUUGAAAACAGAAGUUCAUGUGGAGGAGAAGGUUAUCUAUUGAGUAAAUUUUCCUGUAACACCUUUGCUGGAACUGUAGGUCUCUCCUUGAACACGGACCAUCAGUUUUCCUCAGGAGACUGACUGUCCAUUGCUACAGCAUGCCAUUUUGCAAAACUGUAGGUGUAGCAAUGUCCAAUGGCAGUGUGAUGAUGGAAGACUGGGAACCAUUGUACCAUUGGCUGCCACGGGGUAUAUCUGUUCUCCUUCCUGGCUCUUUAGUGCUGUGGAUUGAUAGCAUCAGUCAUGCCUGCCUGUGCCAGUUGAAGAACGUACUGCUUCUCUUCUGAAUCCAACUAGACUGUAGAUCUGCUUCUUCAACUUCUUUGGAGAUAGAAGACAUGAUCAUAUCUCUGAAUCACAGACUACUGGAGGCUGUGAGAAUGUACAGAACUUAUAUAUUCUGUGCUUGCCCUGUUUGUGUUCUCUCCCCUAGGCACCUGCUAAUCAUCACUGUUGGGAAUUGAAUACAAGGCUAAGGAGAUCUUUGGUUUUACCUGUUAUGGCUGUUCUUAUAAUUUAUUUCUAUAUGGUUCCAGGAAGACAACAGCUACUCUGUGACUUUGCAGCUUGUCGUUCAGUAGGGAGAUAUUUCUCACUUUUCUGGCCAUGUGCAGUCAAGAAGAGGGAGAAGUUGAAGAAAUAUGUAGAAGUGUGAAGAAAAGUGUUUGGCCUUACCACAUAAGCAUGCAAGAGAGAAAGGAAAGACAAUGAGAGCAGGGAAUACAAUGAAGAGAUGUAGAUUCACUCUCGGAACAAAGAUUCCUUAAAGUCGGUGUGUGUAACACCCUAACACAGAGCACCAUAUCCAGAAGCAGAAGGAGCAACUAUGCAAGGGAGCGGAUUCAUCAGAGGUCAGGCAGGAGCAUUUCUUGCAGAUGA